GGAAAGACUAUUUGGUGAUAAUCACAGGUCUGUGUUACUCUGCGUUGUAGUAUAAAGUACAUUUAAUGCUGGGGUAUUGUUGGAAAAAGGUUAACAAGCAUCUCCAGUUGGAUGAGGAUGUGAAACGUUUACGUGAAUUUGAACUAUUGACCGUUCUCCUUCUGUAUCAGGUUAGGAAAGGAUAAUGUUAUACAACCUGGG